UAAUAAAUAAUAAAUGAAAAUAAGUAAAAUUAGGGCUUCGCUAAAACAACUCAUUUCAAGAAUACUUGGAAACAUCGUAUACGGAUUUGUUGGAGCAAAUAUUACAAAAUGAAAUGUAUAGUGUCAGGGAAUAAUGUUAAGGUGAUAGGAAGGACUAUGCAUUGUUUGUCAAAGAUUGGGGAUGACAUUUAUCUGGAUCCUGGAGGAGAGGGUCUUGCCCUUAUUGCUUUCAAUACCUCCAAAUCUGCUUAUUUAAGAUAUUUCUUUAGUGAUAAUUUCUUUGAGAGCUACAAUUCCGGUGGAAAAAUGUCCAAAGAUUGCGUCUCCGUUAAAGGUAUCCUCAUGGCUUUUCGAUCUCUAUUUGUCUUAGAAAAAACUGUAGAGUCCUGUAGAAUGGAAAUGCUUCAAAAUGAUUUAAAAAUAACUCUCUUUUGCAAACAUUCUGUAAAGAAAUCAUAUGUCUUACCUUUCAUAGACUAUGAACCACUUAAUACACAGAUUGAACUUUUUGGACAAUCCAACCAGUUCCUUGUCAAGUCCAAAACUUUUUCUGAGGCAGUUAUAAAUUUCUUAACAAAUCAAGAAGAAGUGACGAUGUACGUAGAUGAAUCUCGAUUUAUGAUGAAGAACUUUAAUGAUGUUAAUGAGAAAAUGAUUAAAAAGCUGAAAAAUAAAACCAAGAUUGAAUCCAAUUCCGUUUAUACGGAGUUGACACUAAAGCCGGACGAAUUCGAGGAAUACUCUAUUGAUAAUGCCUCUGAAUUGACGUUUUGUCUUAGAGAAUUAAGGCCCUUCAUUGGAUUUGCUGAAAGUCUAGCCUGUCUAGUGAGUGUCAAAUUUGAAAGUGGAGGAAGUCCAAUCAUGUUUGAAAUUGAUGGAAAUCCUUCCUUUAAGUCAAAAAUGGUUCUAUCAACUUCAAAACAUAGUCUUAGGAGUGAUUAUGAUGAUCCUAGAGCAUCUCAAAGGUCAAUUGAUACACUAACUGAUCAACGAUCUCAAUUGGUUUCCAAUGAUUCUAUCAGUAUGAAACGGAAAACUAGCACACCUUUUAUGAACACUCCCCUUGAAAAUACUUCCAAGUGUACCCCUUUAAGUCAUUUGAAUAUCUCAGGUAUUAAUAAUGAUGAUCCUCCCAUAUCAGAAUCGCCUCCCUCCAAGAAAAUCAAGUAUUUUUUCAAGAGAUGUUUUAAUAAAACAUUUAAUCCAAGUAAUAUAACUGGAGCUCAAGUCGUGCUCGCUCCAGAUUCUGAUGACGAAAAUGAGCUGGAUAUUAAUUCCUAAUUAUUUUAAUUUUAUUUAUAUACAUACAUACAUUUUGCCGAUUUACACUUUUUUUUUAAAUUUCAUUGUGUUCACAUUCAUAGGCCCUUUAAAAAAGACAUAUCCCUUAAAAUAAACUAUGCAAGUGUCUCAAUAAUUAUGCACUUUGAUUUCCCAAAAGAUCAAGUAUUAGGGUACUCACUAAAAAUUAUUCUCUUAAGAUGUAGAUAACCUGAUUCUACGAAUAAAUGAUUAUACAACACAUUUUUAAAAUAUAUUGAACUUUGAAUUAUUAUGUAUUAACAAGAACAUGUCUUGUUAAUGUCUUGUGUCUUUAUGAAUGAUAAUCAUAUUCCGUUAUUUAAUUCUAAUUUUACAUCAUUUGUAUCUUGUAAACAUCUGGAUCAUUGAGGGAAAUGUAAUGAUAAUGCUAAAUAAAUAUAAGAUACAAAUUUUAAAGAUUACUAUUGCCCCUCCCCAAUAUUUAGGUGUGUACUCUUGAGGUUAGGAAUGAAAAUAUUGAUUUGUUCUGUACAGACAACAACAACAAUAACACAACUAACCUUUCAUCUCUACUAUUGAUUAUAUUAUUAAAGUUUAUUAAAGAAAGAACGUUUGAAUAACUCAGGAAUGAGAUGGGGUUUCCAUUUGUUCUCUAGCUUAUUGAUUGCUCAACCUACUCUAGAAAUCUAAUUAUAUUAUACGAAAAUAUAUCCGUUUAUAUUUAUUUAUAUGACUAACAAAGAGGAUGUUUUGAAGGAAAAAAGUUUGUUUUCUUGAGUGAUCUAUCAUUAUUAUUAUUAUUAUUUUGGGAGUGAAGGAAUUGAGUAAAAAAAGUGAGAUAGUUGAUGAUAUAACGAAAAUUACACCUGCAGCAAUCAAAAAUGAGAAAGACUCUUCUGGGCUCUCUUCUAUCCUUUUCCUUCCACAUAAUAUUGUACCUACGUAGGUUAUUUGAAAGAUUUUUUCAAGAGGGGCUUUCUUCAAUAACUUUCUUCUCGGAAGACUCUCAGCUUGUAUGUACUAUAAUGGGUAAAGUAUAUAACAACUAAAUAAGAUCAUAUAUAUAUAUAUUUCUAAUAGUAGUUAUUUACCAGACACACAUCUUUUGUUCUUAUUUUUUGUAUUAUGUAGAAGAACGAAUCUAAAAAAAAUAUUUCUCAUUUUUAGAAAGCGGCAACUAUCAUCAGUACGGUGCUAGAGAGUCAUUUUUAUUUCUAUUUAGGAGUAAGAGGAAGGAAGAGGCUGUUCUUUGGAUUAAAAAAAAACGCUUUUUUGGAGGGAGAGAAGAGGAACCCUGGGCAAAAUCGAUUAAAGAGCUUUCUCUUAUUGUGUAUGAUGUAUUUUUAUUAUUUAAAAAACUCUUUCUUCCGUAAGCUUCUUCUUCCAAUACGCACUCAAUUCUCUGUUGUGAAAACGAAGAGUCCCUUUCUAAAGAAGAAUAAAAGAUACAGAGUAUACUUUUGUUUCACUCUUACAAACUUACUCCAAAGACAAAGAAAUUGUGUAUCUCUUGAGUUAUUCAAGUUUUAAAAAAACUCCUCAAUCCAAUAGAAGACGUGUUCAAAUUGUGAUAUACUCUUCCGACUUCCUGUGUAUAAGAAGAUAUCUGACGGUGGCAGUUGGUCCGGACCCGACUUUGCAUCUCGUUUCAUAGGUCAAACUUUUGUAAUUUGUUCUUGAAGAACAAUGCAAAAUCGAUGAAAGCCGGGAAAGGACAUCCUGAGGCCGAUUAUUAUUCUCCCAUUUAAAUCUGCAUUAAUUUUCUAAUAUAUUUUUUUUAAUUUGAUCAAUAAUGAAUUUGUUUUAAUGUACGUAUUCAAAUAAAUGCAUGUUCUAAUAUUUAUGUGUUAGUCUUAUGGAUCGACCAUCAAAGAGGAUUUCGGAAGGACAAAAGAGAAAAUGAAACAACUUGGACAAAUAUUAUGGAUUUUUACUCUUCAUUUUUAGGGGGUGCUUUCUUUCUUUCUUUUCCUUCUUUUCAAAAAGGUUUCGAAUCAAAGAAAACUUCGAUCCUAAAUUGGUUUAAAGUAAGUUCAAGGCAUACAUAAGUAUACAACUACAACCACAGGACGUAAGAGAAAUUGAAGUACUUCCAUGAUGUAUUGAACACAAUAAGGACAUUCCAUCUACAGGAGCAAAUUUACCGAUUCAUUUAUUGUUCUUUUUUUAAUUUGUAUCAUUUUAGCUUAUUUACUGAAAUACAUGUUUUUAUAAAA
rnacentral:misc_RNA from 1 species